rnacentral:rRNA from 1 species
AGAGUUUGAUCCUGGCUCAGGAUGAACGCUGGCGGUAUGCCUAACACAUGCAAGUCGUACGAGAGUUUUUAACUCUAGUGGCGGACGGGUGAGUAACACGUAAGAAUUUACCUUCAGGAGGGGGGAUAACAAUUGGAAACAAAUGCUAAUACCCCAUAUGCUUUCGAGUGAAAUGGAUUUAUAUUUAUCCNCCUAAAGAGAAGCUUGCGUCUGAUUAGCUUGUUGGUAAGGUAAAAGNUUACCAAGGCGACGAUCAGUAUCUGGUUUGAGAGGACGAUCAGACACACNGGAACUGAGACNCGGUCCAGACUCCUANGGGAGGCAGCAGUGGGGAAUUUUCCGCAAUGGGGGAAAGCCNGANGGAGCAAUACCGCGNGAGGGAAGACUGCCUAGGGGUUGUAAACCUCUUUUUCAGGA